CGCACAUUGCGCCCCUUGGUAUUCCGAGGGGCAUGCCUGUUCGAGCGUCAUUAUCACCCCUCAAGCCCCCGGCUUGGUGUUGGACUCUAGGUCUGGCGACAGACCGGUCUCAAAGAUAGUGACGGCGUCCCGGAAGGAACCCGUACCAGGAGCUUUUCGUUAAGCAUGUACGAGGCGUGACUCCGUGGGCGACGGUCUUUACUCCGAGUAUUAUACCAGUGUUGACCUCGGAUCAGGUAGGAAUACCCGCUGAACUUAA
rnacentral:misc_RNA from 1 species